CUGCUGCUGUACAAAUGCUCCCAAUGAACCACUUAGAGGCACUCGCUGGCUCACCGAUUAUUAGUAGUAUUAAUAAUUAUUAUAUUAUUAUUCGCCGGAUGUUGGACAUGACGUAAGAGCCCGCAGGAUCUCUUGCUCCUGGCUCGGCAACGCAAGGCAGUCUGGGAGCAUGGCGCCAUGCACCUCGCCUUGGCUUGCUGGGAAGUCUUUUUCUGAUUGGGGCAGUCAGAAGGGAGAAUAUCACAUCUCCUCUUGCCAGGCACAAAACUAGUUGGGACGCCUGCUGAGCAACCAAUAUGAAGAGGAUGAUGAGAUGCAACAUUCUUCUUUCCCUUUUCUCUUCCCGGAGACUAUUUGAAGAGAAUAAAGAUCUCUUUGGUUCCAUCAUCCUGUUUCUUUUACAGUCUCCCCACCACCACCACCACCAUCACCCAACAGUCCUUUUCAUCCUUUCAUCUCUCCUUCCCUUUCAUUAUGACAGAAGUAAUAUCACUUGGGUCACUCAAAUAUCUGCAGUCUUAUCUAAUUUGAAAGUCGUAGUGGAAAUACUCAAGGAAAAGAAUACUCAAGUGGAAUAAAAUGUGUGAAGAAAAGUCGCCUAAUCUGGACUGACCUUCUUCCCAAUUAGUCUGAAAAAUCGGUUUCUCAAUUAAAACAGAACAGAACAGAACACCACUUUUGUCAGUAUGGAGAACUUCAGGACAUGGCUCAUUCUUCUCACACUCAGUCAAAAAACCACAGGAAGAUUUCUUCUGCCAGCUGAAGAGCAGUGCUGGUUACCCUACUCUUGCUAUGAAAGUAUUGGCCAGUCUGAAAAACUGGAAUAAAAACCUGGAAGACUCCAAAGGUGGUCUGGGAAACUAUCAGGGAAUCUACCAAGUUUCCACCAUUCAGGUAACCCACAAUCUUGGGAAACGUAAUAAAAGAAGUCUGAUCAGUACAUGUACAGCAAUAACACUUGUAUUAGUGAGUCAGUGUUGCUCAUUGUGUCUAUGUUCUUUCCAGCACCAUAUGCAAGCAUAGUUUUGAUUUGAUUGUCACUUUAUAGCUCAAUUACUUCUAUCUAAUUAGUCUGUCUCCUAACAAUUCGGAGUUAUUUUGUAGCUGCAACAUUUCUUGUAUUUCAAAAGUGUGUUUUGGAAACACACAUCCGUGGAAUUCUUGCAAUGACCAAAUUGUUCUUAGAACAUUUGAGUGUCUUUUCCUAGUCAUUUUCAGUUAUAUAUUAGUAGCUAACAAACCAUAAAUAAAAGAAUCAUUGCAUAUAACAGUGUGAAGGUUUUCAACCUUCCCAAUUCCAAUUCCAUUUUCUCCAGUUUUCUACAAACUUUGCCUUCAGUCUGAUAGAUUCAGAAGGCUUCAUUUGAUUCAUCUCUACUGAAUUUUAUUCACUUCUCACACCAUAUAAAAUGUGAUACUGUACA